rnacentral:rRNA from 1 species
CCUACGGGAGGCAGCAGUGGGGAAUAUUGCACAAUGGGGGAAACCCUGAUGCAGCGACGCCGCGUGAGUGAAGAAGUAUUUCGGUAUGUAAAGCUCUAUCAGCAGGGAAGAAAAUGACGGUACCUGAUUAAGAAGCCCCGGCUAACUACGUGCCAGCAGCCGCGGUCAUACGUAGGGGGCACGCGUUAUCCGGUUUUACUGGGUGUAAAGGGAGCGUAGACGGCAGCACAAGUCUGGAGUGAAAUGCCGGGGCUUAACCCCGGAACUGCUUUGGAAACUGUGCAGCUAGAGUGCAGGAGAGGUAAGUGGAAUUCCUAGUGUAGCGGUGAAAUGCGUAGAUAUUAGGAGGAACACCAGUGGCGAAGGCGGCUUACUGGACUGUAACUGACGUUGAGGCUCGAAAGCGUGGGGAGCAAACAGGAUUAGAUACCCGAGUAGUC